rnacentral:misc_RNA from 1 species
GAAAUGCGAUACGUAGUGUGAAUUGCAGACUUCCGUGAAUCAUCGAAUCUUUGAACGCACAUUGCGCCCUCUGGUAUUCCGGAGGGCAUGCCUGUCUGAGCGUCAACUUAUCAUCAAACUCAUGUUUGGUCAUGGAAGACGAGGGAACUUCUCUCGCUUCUGGAAUACAUUGGCAGUAGCUUACGCUUUCGCAACGUAGUAAGCACAUAUUCGUUGCAAUGCUCGUGUGAGAUGCUUGCCAUCAACCCCAAAUCUACCACGUUUGACCUCAGAUCAGGUAGGGAUACCCCCUGAACUUAA